GUCCCUGUAGUGCAAUGGAUCACGCGUUGGACUUUUAAUACAAAGGUCGUGGGUUCGAAUCCCACCUGGGAUG